AGGCGCGUUCUAUCUCACACUGGUUCCCAUACGACCCCGUUGGCGUGGUGAACGCCGUUCCUUAAGGACUUCUUCUCCCGGCGAUUCUCUCCGCCCAGGGUCCCUCGCUCACAAUCCCGACACACACGCCUCGACGCCUUUCAACUCCGCUUCUGACGCCUUUCAACUCCACCCCGAUAUCAUCGCUCGUAUGGACAAUUACCCGCAGUACAAGAUGGGUCCGGACCCGUCGUCCAUCGACUCGUGCAUGAUCGGCGGCGUCGUCGCGAACAACUCCUCCGGGAUGUGCUGCGGCGUGAAGCAGAACACGUACCACACGCUGAAGGACAUGCGGAUCGUGUUCGUGGACGGCACGGUGCUUGACACGGCGGAUCAAAAGUCGCGCGACGCGUUUUUGUCGUCGCACGUCGACCUCGUCGCGGGCGUCGUCAACCUCGCCAAGAAGGUCCAGGCGGACGAGGACCUCGUCGCGCUCAUCAAGAAGAAGCACGCGAUCAAGUGCACGACGGGGUACUCCAUGAACGCGCUCGUGGACUUCCCGCCGGAGGACCCGAUCGAGAUCAUCAAGCGGCUCAUGAUCGGCAGCGAAGGCACG
rnacentral:lncRNA from 1 species